UGGAAAACAAAGAUAGCACACAUACUUCGACACAUGAUUUUCAUUUUUUUCCCCCAAUAAUAAUUGCACAUUAAAUAGAGUUUGAGACAUCAUAAUGUUUCAAGUAUGCUUCAUGCCAAUCAUCAUAUAGAAUCAUAACAUUACUGCAAAGAACACUUGUUGAUUUGGAAGCAGUCUUACCAGCAUUAAACAGCUCAAUACAAAUAAAAUUAAAAUACAAAACAAAAAACAAAGCUAAAUACAAAAAUAACUCUUUGGAUUUAAAGAAACUGCAAAGACAACAUAUUAAAUAUAAAACGGUUUCCCCGUCAUGAGCUGAUCGUACAGAUUACGUGUGAAAGGCAGAAUAAGGAUAACAUGGAGAUUAACAGUUGUAAAAUUUACCACAAUGAAUGCAAAGAAAAUACAGAAAUGUCAAAAUGUUUAAAGUAAUUUUAAUUGCAAAUGCUAUUGUAGGGUACUAAUGACAGGCCCAUGACAUAAUCUGUUUUUUACCUUAUUCCUUGACGUAAUAUAAUGGAGUUUAAAAUAAAGUGAGCCUAUUAUUUUCAUCAAUAAAAAAAAAAAAAAAGACAGGUGCUUUUCCUGUAUGAAAAUGGAUAAAUGUCUAAAUUACCAUUAUUCAUGCAGAAUCGUCUAUUUUGUAUUAUCAUACAACUGGAGGCUUUGGCACAUAAUUAAUUUUUAUAUAGCUUUGCUGUGAAUGCCAGGGAUUUUAUUCUAAAAUCUCACCAUUGUAUUCAUUUAAAACAACCAUUCCCAUAAAAUGUUCUGAAACCACAGGUAAGGAGGAUUUAAUGUCUGAUUUAAUUAGUCAUCCUUUGGUUUAGCCAAGUAUGUUUAAUUUUAUUGUUG